AUAAACACUGCUCUGUGGCAGCAGACCUGAGCCGUCAGAUGGAAUCGGGGGGCGGCGGGGGGCCGCCGCAGCGUCUCGCACAGCAGCUUCAGUCACCGCCGACGAUGCACCCUCUGGUGGGAGCCUGCUGGGGACUAUUCCACCACUGCACACAGAGCACUUGGAAAGCCUCUGAAUCAAAGCAGUACUGGUCUUGAUGCAAAGCCAAUGGAAAUAUCUACAUUACAUUUAAUGGCCUCUGGAGCAAGCACUUACGGAAAUGUGAUGUCUUACUGGGCUGCUUGCUACAACCACACCGACGAAGAAAGCAGUGGCUGCUGUCAAGGGAGGACUGGCCUUGAAGACAUGUGACUUGAAAUCUGUGAUGGUUGUAGUCUUCCAGUACACGAGCGAGUGAAAUUUUCUUGUCUUGUCCUGUUCUGUGGUCUUUUUUUCCCCUCUUACUUUCUUUCUCAAAGGUGCACUGGUACACACAGAAUAAGGAGCUUAAAUUGAGCUGGUAGCAGUUUCCUUGUGAUAUCAGAACACUGCAAUACAGCUCUGUUUUACUCAGGAGAGUAGAAUGCUGCUGCUUUAGUGUCAGAUGCACUCUAUUGCGCCACUUGUUCUCUCCACCCAAAGACUUCAUUGAUGCUGAAUACUUGAAUAUGCUGGUGAGCAAAUGAGUCUGUACCUUUUGAAAAUAGUUACAGAAACUUAAAUAGUGAGCCAAAUGGAGGACUAUGAUCAGGGAAACGUGUUUGGUUUUUUUCCAGACCUUUAGACUGACUUCCUUAGUAGUAAUGAAUACAGUGUUACAUACAAACCUAACUUAGGAAAUGUUAAUUUGAACUGAAUCUUGUGGGUACAGCAUGCGCUAGAAGAAAUAUCAGUGUAUUGUUCUUCAACUUUUAGUUAGUGAAGGUCAGGAUCCACUUAGAAAUAGAAGGAAAGGCUGCUGAGAUAAUUCAGAAAUCCUGAGAAAGACUGCUGGAAAACACAGCAGUGAUGACUUAGAAAUGGAUUUGUGUUCAGAAUCACAGAAUGGCCUGGGUUGGAAGGGACCUCAAAGAUGAUGAAGCUGCAACCCGCCCGCAGGCAGGGCCACCAACCUCCACAUCUCACAGCAGCCCAGGCUGCCCAGGGCCCCAUCCAACCUGGCCUUGAACACCUCCAGGGAUGGACGGGGCAUCACAGCCUCUCUGGGCAGCUGUUCCAGCACCUCACUGCUCUCACAGCAAAGAAAUUCUGCAUCUGUAGAGCAGUGACAUAUUUACUUUUUUAUAUUUGGGAAAUGUGGAACUCUAUGUCAUGCUUUCCUAACUGUGAAAAUAUCUACGGCCAUCACACUGACAACACAAUAAUUCAGCAGAUCUGCAGAGGUCAGUCUUUGAAAUGUGUUUUGGUGUGUCUCUGUGCAUCAUUUGAGUCUGUGUAAGAAGCAAAUAAAUUAGUGUGGUGCAAUUCGGCCUGUUCCACACUGCAGUGUGUCAUGUUGAAGAAUCAGUGGGAAAAGUUGCCAGAAAAAGAUGUGUAGCGUUCUGAUCCCAAGCUGCCAGCUGCUCCUUGCUGAGAGCCUGCAGUGUUCUUGGAUUCACACCCACAGCUUCACUCAAAUACAUCGGUUAGCAGCUAAUACAGUUAAUAACGAGAAGGUGCCUCUUUAUUGCUGUUGUUACUGACAUUCUGAAUAAAUGUAGGCUACAGGGGUUCAUAUGGCAGCUUUGUUGGAAACAAGCGAAGGUAAAUGCUGUGGGGGUUGGCAGACUUCAUCUGCUGCCAUCCUUGGAGACACUGAAACCUGAUCUAUUGUCAGAGUUCCCUCACUUUGCGCAGGGGUUGCCAGAUUGCCUUCCACGGUUUCUUCCAACCAAAAUUAUUUUAUGAUUCAUGAUAACAGCAUUUUAGAAAAAAAAAAAGAAAAAGUUUGGCUUAUUCAUUUAUCCUCUGCUACUGCUGCUUUUCUGUGAGAAUGUCCCAUUUUGAGAAACGGCUUCACAAGAUUUCUGAUUUUUUACUGAUACAUUUAUGAGCAAUUUGUGCUCCCUUUGUACAGGUGGUGAAUUGGUCAAAAUCCAUGUGUUAUACAAACAAACAAACAAACAAACAAAUAAACAUUUCCCUUGAUUUUCUUAAUCCAAGCUGCAGGAUUUAUCUAACACUUCUGUCUUCUUACAAACAAUAUGAAUGCUGUUUCUAAGCUUUCCUUGGUAGAAUAAUAAUAGUAUCCUUUGAAAACAGGAAAAGUGAAAAGAAAAUAUUUACAAUCCUAAAUAAAACAUCUAUCCAGGCAGGCAACAGCUCUGACAAAGACAGGGGAUGUCCUGAGGCCGACAGAAGUCAGUGUAGUCAUGUGGGCAGUAAGAAUGGCAGGGAAGGGUAAGAACUGUCACUUUGUCUCUGAAUUGAAAGAAUUUAUCACAGCACUGUUAGUAGCUAACAGACUAAGUGCAAAUUAAAUAUGCUUCCAGGAAGACUUUCUCAGCUCAUUACAGUCUUUUUUUUUUUUUCCAAGCUUACAGAUGACCUUACCACUAUUUCCACAGAAUCAUAGCUAGGAUUGCAGAAUACCUGUGGCUGACUGGGACCUCUGCCAGAUGUUGCCCAGCAUAACCCUCCUGCUCAGGCAGGGGCAGAGAGAACAGGCUGCCCAGGACCACGUCCAGUUGAGUUGUAUCUCCACAGAUGGAGACUUCACAAGCUCUCUGGGUAACCUCUGUCAGUGUUCAACCACCCUCACAGCAAAAAAUUGUUUCCUUAUGUUCAGAAGGAGCCUCCCGUGUUUCAGUUUGUGCCUAUUGCCUCUUGCGCUGUAUUCAUACACACAGUAAGCCUGUCCUGAACACUUUCUCCCCGAGACAGAAGAGCCCCAUAUCUCAAACUCUGCUUAUUGCCCAGCCCAGGAAAGCAGCUCCCCAGGGCAGAAAGGUGCAACAAGCUUGUUCCUGCAAGAUUUCCAUCUUAUCUCAGACUUGUCGCCUUGCUGAAACUCUGUGAAACACAGAGGAAUUUCUCAGAGGGCUCAGUGUCCUCAGGAGCCACACUUGCUGCCUGCAGCCCUCCUGGCACGCUGUCCUUGGGACGCAGGAGGUGGAGGCUCUGGGCACAGCCCCGGCACGAGCCAGCAGCUCAGUGGGUCUCCUCUUGGAGGCUGCUUCUGGACAGUGCUCCCCUCAGAACUCCUGCCUGAACCAGCUUCUCCACUGCUGCCAGACAGGAGAAGCUCAGCUCAGCCCGGUUCAGCUGCUUUGGGCAUAUUUGGGACACGUCAGGUCAGAAUGUUACGUUUUUGAUAGGCACGGGUCAACUGUUCCAGACUGAAAGCAAGGGCGUGCUUCACUUGGUUUUUCAGUGCAGUGAGCAGUGAGAGCGGAGGGGUGAGAUCGGUCAGAAUACGGAGCAUCCUGGACACAUGGACAGUCUUAUUAUGUAUAAAAACAGUUGAAACUUAAAACUGAUUGGAAAAAAAGAAGUGACACAAAAAUGAGAUUCUUUUUGAUGACAGGAUUGACUUCCAUUAAACCAUCCACAGUUGAGAGCUUGCUGCCUUAAAGAGGCAAAUGGCAAUCUUGAUUUAAAACAAACAAAUAAAUCUCCCCUUUUUCCUGUUUGCUUAUGCCACUAUUCCCACUAUGUAAUCUGAGCAUAAAGGAAAGCAUGCUGCUAAACUUUCUGAAGCCUUCAUUUAGCAUCUGCAUGUAGAACUUUAAAAGAAAAAAUACAAACAAGUUGAACGUACAUAUGGAGACUUGGAAGAUUGUAUCACAGAUAAGGAAAACGCUUAGGAUUUUCUUUUUGUAUGUGUAAUGCCUUUGCAACCUACUCGCAACGUUAUUCCCUGCAUGAGGGCCCCCUAAUUAUUUCAUCAUGCAGCAGGAAAUUCUGGUAGGUCAUAUAUAAACAGCCCGAGGCAGGGACCUCUUCAUCAGAUAGAGCGUGACAUCUGACAUCUGCGCAGCCUGCCGCUCGCAUGCCACAAUUAGCCAGGCAGCCCCAGCACUAAUGCAAGAGCAACUGGGAGCGUGGGGCUAACCGGUGUGGCAAAGGUCUCCCCUAAUCCCGACAUAAACAUAGGAAGUGUCCCUUCCUAGGUCCACGUCCACGCCGAGCUCAGCAGCGGCGCAGUGCCGCCUGCCCACACGCUGCGGGGCCCCAGCCCUCCUUCACAGCAAGCUCUGCCCACGCGUGGGGAGAUGCACACAGCCCUCUGUAAGCUGCGUGCAGAGCCGGCUGUCUGCAGGAGCUGUGCUGCUGUGCCAAGGCAGCAGAGGAGCAGCGCAGUUACUGUGCCGUGCCUGGAGCAUGCCCUGGCACUGGGGCACCGCUGGGGACGGCGUGGCUCCACCAGCUGAGAGGCAGAGAUGUCACGGUGAGAAGCAGCUGGGAGCAGGAGACAGCUGACAAAUCAGCUGACUGUGAGGAAUCAGGGCUCUGUGUCACACACGAUCCACAAUUGCUAAUUUUUCUUUUAACCGUACUUAUAUUUUUAGUUCCUCUGUAAAAAAAAAAAAAAAAAAAGCAAAUUAUUUUUCCUAAAAUGAGUAAUGGUCAGUGGUAUUUCCUUGGCACAGAAAAAUGGCUCCUGAGAGAAAUUGUUGCAAGUAGCAUUCCAGGGAGAACUUUGAAGUAAGUGCAAAAGUGCAGGAAAAGCGUGUGCCACCAUGCUGCCCUCCAGCAUUUUUACCUGCAAUUCCCUGCUCUUCACCUCCCCUCCCUGUGCAGGCUUGCCCAGGUCCUGCCGUGAGCUCAGGAGGGCUGUUCAGCACUGCUGGCUCUGGCACUCGGUGAGCUCAUGUGCCUUUCUUGGAUGAAAGAGACCCCGGGAAAAACAAAGGAAAACUCCAAUUGAAGGAAUGCCUCAGGGAAAGAACAGUUCCAUAAGGUGACGUGUUUCUUCCCUCUGGUGUGUAUUUCCACAGCCUUCAAACAUACCACUCUCCUUCAUUCCUAUUAAUAUUGCUGUUGUUGUUCAGACUAUUGGUUUGUAUUUUCAUACACCAUGGCUGCAUUGAACUAAAACUUUUUUUUCCUGAAUGCAUUUUUUGUCUUCAGCCUUAAGUCCAGUCCUAGCAAAGCCUAUGUUUAGCAGUUUUCUGCGGUCUUUCAAAAUCUAUUUACAUAGGAAAAUGUUCUUUUAAUUAGUGUGCAUUUAAAAACAUGAUGAAUUCUACAAGAUUGAAGAAAUCGAAGGCAGCCUCUUAGGCUUGCUAUAGGACUGCUGGGCACGAGCUCUGCUGAAUCUCGCACUAAGGGUCUUCAUACAAACAAUUCAUAAUCGGUCUUUUGUCAACUUUCAGUCAUUCAGUAAUGCUUAGGAUUUCCUGAAAAGUCAACUUUUUUCUCCCCCCAGGGUAGGUGACCGAAUCAGGUUAAGUUUGUUUGCUGCAAUCAGCCAUUUUACAGUCAAAGUGUAUUGCUACUGAAACACCUAUUUUCCUCUGCUCUUCCCCAGCAUACUGUCUGCAUUAGCUGUAUUUAUAACAGCCAGUUCCUCGUUAACUUUUUUCCCAAGCUACCAUUCCCUUAUUAAAUCACGACAAAUUUGACUGUGAACUUUUACUUAGACAACUGUAGCACAGAGUAUUUCUUUCUGCAAUUUGUGGAAGUUUAAAAUCUAAUAUCUGUGAUGGAUUUUCUGUAAGCUUUCUGCUUACAGCUUAAAUAAUUGUGUUCUUAUCCUGUCUGCAUUCCUGACCUUGGUGGUAUUCCUCAACAUCUCUUUUUCUGUACGUUUAAUAAAGGGAAAUAUUCAACCUUAAAACUUUCAGAUUUGCCUGUCAGUGAAAAAAUAAAAAACCUACAACCUCUUUUACACAGCUCUUAAGGGGAAGUUCCCAUUUACUUGUAGCUUUCUCUGCUGUAUUUGCAGCCUAAGACCAGGACAUUUAGCUGGAAGCGAUGUCAUUUUCAUUUUUCUUUAAUCCAUAAGCAAGAACAGUGUCCUAUGAAUGUAAGGCUAAUAUUACCAACAGCAAAUGAUGGUGCACUGCCAAACUUCAAAGCAUUCAGUUUAUUGUCAUCUUAUUACAGAAUAGAUAACAGAUCAUUUCCCCCCUUCAAUAAACAUUGAAGCAGUAGUUGUCACAGGGGUGGGUUGGGAGGGAAUCCUCUCAAUCCAUUUUUUAAUUCACUUUUCUGUGCAGAAGGGAGCCAGCACGCUGGUCACAAACCGGUUUCCCCAGCAAGAAUUAUCUAAUGGAAAUUAAUGGCGUUCAAUUUGCUGUAAACGGAACAGUCCUGUAACUCUGGCAGUGAGCUUGUCACUUCGUGUGCUUUAAAAAACAUUCACUUUUCCAUUAUAUUUAGAAGAUACACCAGAGUCAUUGUUACGAUUCUUUCUGUCUUGCACUGUUCUGCCUCUGACAGCUCCUGGCAGGUAACUGGGGAAGCUCUGCAAGAACUGCCCCUAGGCCUUGUGGCCAUCGCUGUGGAGCCAUGUCAGACGAUUCCUUGACAGGAAGUGCAAAGUGGCUCCUUCACUGGAAGUGGGUCUUGAUUUGCGGGUGUUACCCUUACAGCCCCUCUCACAAACCUGGCUAUGAUGCAGGUGGGGACACAAUUCGAAAUCUGCUUUAAUAAGACUGAAACAAGUACAGUUUGCAUAAAUAAGAACCUCAGCUUAGGCUAUGAUCGCCGUUUUUGUUGCUUCUCCCUUUCACUGAUUGAUACACCUCAGACAUGGUGCACCAUGAACUAUUAUCAUGACAUGUGUGGGGUAAAAUUAACUUCUUUCCAGAGUAAUCCAGUGUGCAGUGUUUCUAGAAGAACUACAGUUAUUCUGUUAAUACUCCUCAAACAGUUUCUCUCUACUUUUCAUCCAUUUCCAAAAUAAUUUCCUUCUGUUGCUGGUUUCAUUCUAUGCUAUGAAGCCUUCUGCUGAAGUCUCAGGAGUUCAAGCCAUAGACUUUCCCCCAAGGAACUCAUGUUCUCCUCAAGUAAUUGCCUACUUGUAUGUUGAUCACUUCCAGAGAGCUCUCCUAAGUCUGCCCCAGAAACCUUAGUCUUGCUAGGAGAGGCUGAGCUGUUACUCUGAUUCCAAGCCCUGAUCCCCAAACCUUUGCACUGUAAAAUCUCGGUGCCUUCCUCUGCAGGCACAAAGAUUCCCAGGGGCCUUUUUCACAAGGUUCUUUUGUUGCUGGCCCUGGUCUUCCCUUAGUUUUUAGUGCAAAAGCAGAGGUCAUGUUUGAGAUCUGUAGCCUACCAGAACACAAAACUAUGUAAAUGACUUUUAUCUGAGGCAUGCAGGUAGAAACCUUGGGACUGUAUAAGGGCUUUGGGGUUGAUUUCUAUGUAAUGAGUUGGUUUCUUCUUCAGGCUUAAUUUCACAUUGAAAACAAAAUGUAACUGCCCCAUUAUAGACAUGAGCCAGGCACCCACUCCAAGGAGGCAGGGUACCAGGAGAGAGCUUUGCAGAAGGGGAGCAGGCUAGGGAAACACGGUCCUGACUCAGCAGAGCAGGAUAGCAGCAUUGCUAGAUGCUGCUGCAGAGCCAGAUACCCUUCCAGGUUGCUUGUUGUCUCCAUGUGGUUGGGCAAGAUGGCCUUUGGCAGUGCAGAUAGCUGCAUGCAUUGUCCAGGUAGAAAACACGGGGAAGCAGCAUUACUGUCAGCACAGGAGAGAGGCCAAUACUCAGCCAAAUGUGAGCUCUAACAGGCCAUGAUGGCCCUGACCUGCCUUGUUUAGGGCUCACAACCACCCUCCUGCCCAUGGGACCAGGAGUCCCACUUAAACUCGGGCCCUGUUCUUCAGUCUUUGCCUGAAUGAUAUUGCACUGGUGCUUUUCUGCUGGGUAGACCUUCAGGCCGUGCUGCAGGUAGCUUGUUACCUGAUCAGAUCUCAAAUGUAAACUGAAGCUUAUCUCCAAUCCAGUCUUUGGCUCUGUCUCCUGGGCAGGCUUGAACUCACAUGGUACGCUUGUUUCCAGUCCUGUCUCUGGGUCCGUCUCCUUUUGAUCCUGAUUGAAUUCCCUUGCUGGAUGUUGGACUUAAUUAAUCUCCAUGCCUUGUCUGGGGCUGUCAGUAGAUGCAGUUACCAGCCCCUGGCUCUCUUCGUGUGCCAUGAGAUUGCACCAGUAUCACCCUCAGCUCAUUCCUGGUAUGUGAUUGCUGCUCCCUGCAGCCCUGUCCCAGCACAGCUUUUCCUGAUGCAGGGGCAGUGAGGGCUGCUGCGGCCAGAUCUGAGGACAAAAUACAAAGAGAACAAGUAACUAUGGGAGACCUGGGCUUGGUGAGGCUGAACAUGAUGAGCUGUGUACUCUUCUGUACUCCUUGCUCUUAUGUGCGGAGGAGAGGCUGAGCAGUGUGGAGUUCAAAGCUGCCAUCUCAGGAAACAGCGCCAAGAAUGACGCACCCUGUGGAAAAUAACAAAGCCAAAGGCAACGUCUGUCAUCUGCAAACAGCUGCAGGUUAUGUCUAGGCAGGACUGUGUAGGUGCUGAGGAGAGAGCAUGGCACAGGUGGAGGGGAUGAGAGAAGGAGCAGACAAGAAGACCGCUGAGCCGGAGGCGGUUGGUCCUGGUGUGGGCUGCAGGCUGCCACAGGCCUGGCUGUUUUUCCAGGUGCAGGAGGGCAGCUGCAGUGCAGCGCUGAGAUCUCCUGUUCUGGCUCACAAAAAAUGACAUUUGUAACAGGUACCCGCUGCUGAUUAUGAGCUCAGUCCUUUGCAUGGGAUACAUCCAGUGAAAAGGCAGCAGUUUCAGAAUGCAUCUUUCUGGCAUGGAGCAGGACAGAGUCAUGCUCCUUAAAGUUGCCUCAACCAAAGGCAGAGCCCACAGCUGAAGCAACUUUGCCUGAUUGGAUGUGGGUCAGCUGGUGAUCAGAA